UACGAAGGGUGCAAGCGUUAAUCGGAAUUACUGGGCGUAAAGCGUGCGUAGGCGGUCUUUUAAGUCUGCUGUGAAAUCCCCGGGCUCAACCUGGGAAUGGCAGUGGAUACUGGGAGGCUAGAGUGUGUCAGAGGAUGGUGGAAUUCCCGGUGUAGCGGUGAAAUGCGUAGAGAUCGGGAGGAACAUCAGUGGCGAAGGCGGCCAUCUGGGACAACACUGACGCUGAGGCACGAAAGCGUGGGGAACAAACAGG
rnacentral:rRNA from 1 species